GUUUCCAAAACACAUUACCCCAUUUCUUGGAACCACUGAUGCUUUCUGUCUGCAUUGACUCAAGCUUCUACACAGGCAGUGACUCUUAAAAACAGACUCUACGUCAGCCAUAAGAAAAACUUGAUUCCCUGUUAUCAGUCAUAGUGUCAUAGCUUGAAUCUUUCUGUCAACCUGGAAUUGGAAAUUCGCAGGUCUCGAGAUACAGAAAUGAAGGUCAAGGAAGUGAACUGAAGAAAGUGAAUGAACUGAGAGAGGAAGGGAAGGUGACAUUUCAAGAGAAGAGAAGCUUUUGAAGUUAACACAGAAGGCAAUCUUGUUGCUGGCAUCCAUCUCCAGAACUCAUCUCACAGACCUGCAAGCUGUUGCUGGCUCCGGUACCACGAGGCAAGUUUUGUCUAGCUUGCUGUUGCUGUGCACAAGGUGACCACACUUUCAUGAUUCUUCAGGAUUUUUAUUUGUUCUGAUAGCCACUAUAACUCCUUCAAAAAAGAAAGCUGAAUUUUUGACCAUUCUGAACUCUCUGCUGUAGCCAGAUGCUGCACUCUUCUGUUUUCUAGGAACUUCUCUUGUGAAAGAUUCAAGAUUCAAGAAAAGGAAUGAAAAAGAAAUAAUACCCUGUUGGUCCAUGACAUCAGAAGUAGAUGUUGGUGGUAUGGCAGUAGAGGCUGAACUUCCACUAAUAUUCUGAUACACUUUUUUGCCAUGUGACAGAUGGCAGCAGAGAAGCAGUCUGACAAACUGGCAUCUGGCAUGAGAGUGCAUAUGAAGCAAAGAUGUGUCAUUAAACUCCUUCAUGCAGAAAAAAAUUGCAUCCAUUGACAUUCAUCAAUGCUUGCUGGACAUUUAUGGAGACAAAACAGGGGAUGUGAACACAGUGAAGUGGUGGAUGGUGUGUUCCAGCAUUAGCAACAGCGACAGCGGGUUAGUGCAUCCACUGAUACAGACUUUUACAAUCAUGAGAACAUCCCAAGUUACAGCACAUCACGCUUUUUUUCUCCACCCACAUCCCCUCUGUUUUCUCAUACUGACCUCACAGCUUUUAUUCUUCCUGGCAGAGAUACUUUUUGUCCUGACUCAGUUUAUGUAUACAAAUGAAGUUGUAAUGUACAGAGGUCAGAGCUGCUCUGAUGGAAGGCUGCUGGUGCCUCUCCCUGUGCAUGCCCCCACAUAAAACAGGUGGAUUUAGUCUGACUCUAUGACUCUAAUCCUUUUCUCAUCAGACCAUGACUAAAGCAUAGAACUGAUUUUUUUUUUUUUUUUUACUUAAAACAAUUUGAUUUUCCUAUCCUCCUUAAAUUCAAAGUAAAUAAAAAUGAAAUAAAAAAGAAAUCAGAGCCAUAUUUGUUAAAACUUUCCAAAUAAAAUUACUUUUGGAUGGAAACCAUUUCUGAAUGUUAUUAGACA